rnacentral:rRNA from 1 species
UACGUAGGGGGCAAGCGUUGUCCGGAUUUAUUGGGCGUAAAGCGCUCGCAGGUGGUUCGAUGCGUCGUGCGUGAAAGACCCCGGCUCAACUGGGGGGGUGUCGUGCGAUACGGUCGGACUGGAGGCCAGUAGGGGGAUGCGGAAUUCCGGGUGUAGUGGUGGAAUGCGUAGAGAUCCGGAGGAACACCAGCGGCGAAGGCGGCAUCCUGGACUGGUCCUGACACUCAUGAGCGAAAGCGUGGGGAGCGAUCCGG